UGAGAACACGAACCCAGUGAAGCGGGUACGAGUCGAGUCAGUGAAGCAGAGACAUGGAGAAGAGUCCAGCAUCGUGUACCGCGUCUCUCUCGCAGUACCCACAGUCUCAGAAUUGACCGGUGUUCUAAGUGCAGUGUUCCAUUGACAGUAAGCAAUGAAUAUGGACCGAGUGAUCGCUAACUGAUGCUGACGCUAAUGAUGGUGGUGGUAACGCCUCUCCUUCCCUACUCCUCUCUGGCAGCGUGACGGAGCCAAGAAGCGUGACGGAGCGAAGAAGCGUGUGGUCAGAGACAGGAAGCGAGCGGGAACAAGAUGACAAAUGAGGCUUGAACAUCAAGUUUACAAGAUGUCAAGGUUAAGAAGACGUGAUGCUUGCCCUCAGCCAGCGCCACACAGGGCCAGGGGACUCCCUCAGCCCGAAAACAGAAGCAUCACUGCACUGUCACCUCCUCCAGAACCUUGCGGCAGUUUUCUUCGAGGUCCUGGGCCAGCGUCAUGAUGGCAGCCGGACUGGUGCUCUCUUGCAGCCGUUUCAUCUGCUGGCCAAGAAAUUCCCUGAGGGACGUAGUGUGCACUGGAUCACGCUGUGCCACAGCUUGCCUCCGUAGCACAUGUUCUGUCUCCAGUUCAUAUGGCUCAGGUGACCCCAUGCGUCCGCCAUUGAUGACCUGAUAGCAAAAAUCAUAUAUUUCUGGUUUUCUGUGGUAGGAAGUGCUUCUGAGCACAUGUAGGUUUGGUGAUGAGAGGGAUGACAGGGACACCAAUGAUGUCAAGGAGUGUUAGAAGACUUAGAGCAAAUGUAAAUCUAGUAUUGUGCUGGUUUAAUCAUGCAAAGCAUAUAGGAAAAGAAAUAAGCAAUAACAGGAUGACUAAAGGUGUUUUAAUAUGGUUGAAAAAUAGAAAUUGAGAUGGAUCAAGAGUAUUUAUUAUAUACUGUAAAGAGGGUGUUGGAUGCAAGAAUGAAUGGACAGGAACAAUUAUUGAAAAAGCGUUCUCUCUCUCUCUCUCUCUCUCUCUCUCUCUCUCUCUCUCUCUCUCUCUCUCUCUCUCUCUCUCUCUCUCUCUCUCUCUCUC